AUACAUAGGACACAAGGUCACGCAUUUAGGCUGGAAGAAGUGAGAUUUCAUCUAAGGGCAAAGAAAAGUUGUUGUUUUUUUACAGUAAGAGCAAUAAGGAUAUGAAAUUAUCUGCCUGAAUAGGUGAUUUUAUCAGAGUCCAUACAGAUGUUAAAACAGCACUUGGAUAUAAUUUCUAAUUAGUGGGGUAAUCGCUGCUUGAUCCAAGGAGAUAUCUGACUGCUAUUUUGGGGUCAGGAAG